rnacentral:rRNA from 1 species
GGGGAAUCUUGCGCAAUGGCCGAAAGGCUGACGCAGCGACGCCGCGUGGGGGAGGAAGGGCUUCGGCUCGUAAACCCCUGUUGCCCGGGGCGAACAUCCUGUUUCGACAGGACUGACGGUACCGGGUGAGGAAGCACCGGCUAACUCCGUGCCAGCAGCCGCGGUAAUACGGAGGGUGCGAGCGUUGUCCGGAAUCACUGGGCGUAAAGGGCGCGUAGGUGGCCGAGCAAGGUCGCGGUGAAAGCCCGGGGCUCAACCCCGGGUCGGCCGUGGCAACUACUUGGCUGGAGCACUGUAGGGGCGGGUGGAAUUCCGGGUGUAGCGGUGGAAUGCGUAGAGAUCCGGAAGAACACCGGUGGCGAAGGCGGCCCGCUGGGCAGGAAGGGGGAGCAAUCCUCCGGCUGACACUGAGGCGCGACAGCGUGGGGAGCAAAC